rnacentral:rRNA from 1 species
GACGAACGCUGGCGGCGUGCUUAACACAUGCAAGUCGAACGGAAAGGCCCUUCGGGGUACUCGAGUGGCGAACGGGUGAGUAACACGUGGGUGAUCUGCCCUGCACUUCGGGAUAAGCCUGGGAAACUGGGUCUAAUACCGGAUAGGACCACGCGCUUCAUGGCGUGUGGUGGAAAGCUUUUGUGGUGUGGGAUGGGCCCGCGGCCUAUCAGCUUGUUGGUGGGGUAAUGGCCUACCAAGGCGUCGACGGGUGGCCGGCCUGAGAGGGUGUCCGGCCACACUGGGACUGAGAUACGGCCCAGACUCCUACGGGAGGCAGCAGUGGGGAAUAUUGCACAAUGGGCGCAAGCCUGAUGCAGCGACGCCGCGUGGGGGAUGACGGCCUUCGGGUUGUAAACCUCUUUCAGCACAGACGAAGCGCAAGUGACGGUAUGUGCAGAAGAAGCACCGGCCAACUACGUGCCAGCCGCCGCCGUAACAC